UACAGAGGUCCCAAGCGUUGUUCGGAUUCACUGGGCGUAAAGGGUGCGUAGGCGGUCGGGUAAGUCUGAUGUGAAAUCUCACAGCUUAACUGUGAAACUGCAUUGGAUACUAUCCGGCUCGAGGAAUGGAGGGGAGACUGGAAUACUUGGUGUAGCAGUGAAAUGCGUAGAUAUCAAGUGGAACACCAGUGGCGAAGGCGAGUCUCUGGACAUUUCCUGACGCUGAGGCUCGAAAGCCAGGGGAGCAAACGGG
rnacentral:rRNA from 1 species